UACGGAGGGGACUAGCGUUGUUCGGAAUUACUGGGCGUAAAGCGCACGUAGGCGGACUAUUAAGUCAGGGGUGAAAUCCCGGGGCUCAACCCCGGAACUGCCUUUGAUACUGGUAGUCUCGAGUCCGGAAGAGGUGAGUGGAAUUCCGAGUGUAGAGGUGAAAUUCGUAGAUAUUCGGAGGAACACCAGUGGCGAAGGCGGCUCACUGGUCCGGUACUGACGCUGAGGUGCGAAAGCGUGGGGAGCAAACAGG
rnacentral:rRNA from 1 species